ACGAACGCUGGCGGCGUGGAUAAGACAUGCAAGUCGAACGAGAGAAUUGCUAGCUUGCUAAUAAUUCUCUAGUGGCGCACGGGUGAGUAACACGUGAGUAACCUGCCCCCGAGAGCGGGAUAGCCCUGGGAAACUGGGAUUAAUACCGCAUAGUAUCGAAAGAUUAAAGCAGCAAUGCGCUUGGGGAUGGGCUCGCGGCCUAUUAGUUAGUUGGUGAGGUAACGGCUCACCAAGGCGAUGACGGGUAGCCGGUCUGAGAGGAUGUCCGGCCACACUGGAACUGAGACACGGUCCAGACACCUACGGGUGGCAGCAGUCGAGAAUCAUUCACAAUGGGGGAAACCCUGAUGGUGCGACGCCGCGUGGGGGAAUGAAGGUCUUCGGAUUGUAAACCCCUGUCAUGUGGGAGCAAAUUAAAAAGAUAGUACCACAAGAGGAAGAGACGGCUAACUCUGUGCCAGCAGCCGCGGUAAUACAGAGGUCUCAAGCGUUGUUCGGAAUCACUGGGCGUAAAGCGUGCGUAGGCUGUUUCGUAAGUCGUGUGUGAAAGGCGCGGGCUCAACCCGCGGACGGCACAUGAUACUGCGAGACUAGAGUAAUGGAGGGGGAACCGGAAUUCUCGGUGUAGCAGUGAAAUGCGUAGAUAUCGAGAGGAACACUCGUGGCGAAGGCGGGUUCCUGGACAUUAACUGACGCUGAGGCACGAAGGCCAGGGGAGCGAAAGGGAUUAGAUACCCCUGUAGUCCUGGCAGUAAACGGUGCACGCUUGGUGUGCGGGGAAUCGACCCCCUGCGUGCCUGAGCUAACGCGUUAAGCGUGCCGGCUGGGGAGUACGGUCGCAAGAUUAAAACUCAAAGAAAUUGACGGGGACCCGCACAAGCGGUGGAGUAUGUGGCUUAAUUCGAUGCAACGCAAAGAACCUUACCUGGGCUUGACAUGUAAUGAACAACAUGUGAAAGCAUGCGACUCUUCGGAGGCGUUACACAGGUGCUGCAUGGCCGUCGUCAGCUCGUGUCGUGAGAUGUUUGGUUAAGUCCAGCAACGAGCGCAACCCCUGUUGCCAGUUACCAGCACGUGAAGGUGGGGACUCUGGCGAGACUGCCCAGAUCAACUGGGAGGAAGGUGGGGACGACGUCAGGUCAGUAUGGCCCUUAUGCCCAGGGCUGCACACGUACUACAAUGCCCAGUACAGAGGGGGCCGAAGCCGCGAGGCGGAGGAAAUCCUGAAAACUGGGCCCAGUUCGGACUGUAGGCUGCAACCCGCCUACACGAAGCCGGAAUCGCUAGUAAUGGCGCAUCAGCUACGGCGCCGUGAAUACGUUCCCGGGUCUUGUACACACCGCCCGUCACAUCAUGGAAGCCGGUCGCACCCGAAGUAUCUGAAGCCAACCGCAAGGAGGCAGGGUCCUAAGGUGAGACUGGUAACUGGGAUG
rnacentral:rRNA from 1 species